rnacentral:ncRNA from 1 species
UACCUGGUUGAUCCUGCCAGUAGUCAUAUGCUUGUCUCAAAGAUUAAGCCAUGCAAGUCUAAGUACGAGCUCUCGUACAGUGAAACUGCGAAUGGCUCAUUAAAUCAGUUAUGGUUCAUUUGAUCGUACAGUUUACUUGGAUAACUGUGGUAAUUCUAGAGCUAAUACAUGCGAGAAGCGCCGACCUCGCGGGAGGCGUGCAUUUAUCAGACCAAAAACCGGCCGCGUCUUCGGGCGCGUUCGCCUUGGUGACUCUGGAUAACUUUGCGGAUCGCACGGUCUAGCACCGGCGACGGAUCAUUCAAGUGUCUGCCCUAUCAACUUUCGUCGGUACGGUAUUUGCCUACCGAGGUUCUUACGGGUGACGGGGAAUCAGGGUUCGAUUCCGGAGAGGGAGCCUGAGAAACGGCUACCACAUCCAAGGAAGGCAGCAGGCGCGCAAAUUACCCAUUCCCGACGCGGGGAGGUAGUGACGAAAAAUAACAAUGCAGGACUCGUUCGAGGCCCUGUAAUUGGAAUGAGUACACUUUAAAAGCUUUAACGAGUAUCCAUUGGAGGGCAAGUCUGGUGCCAGCAGCCGCGGUAAUUCCAGCUCCAAAAGUAUAUAUUUAAGUUGUUGCGGUUAAAAAGCUCGUAUUUGGAUUUUGGGCGCAG